rnacentral:rRNA from 1 species
CAGCCGCCGCGGGAACACGAAGGGGGCUAGCGUUGCUAGGAAUUACUGGGCGUAAAGGGCGCGUAGGCGGCUGGACAAGUCAGGCGUGAAAUUCCCGGGCUCAACCUGGGGACUGCGCUUGAGACUGUUUGGCUAGAGGACAGGAGAGGGUCGUGGAAUUCCCAGUGUAGAGGUGAAAUUCGUAGAUAUUGGGAAGAACACCGGUGGCGAAGGCGGCGACCUGGCCUGUUACUGACGCUGAGGCGCGACAGCGUGGGGAGCAAACAGGAUUAGAUACCCCAGUAGUCCCUGUCUCUUAUAC